GUCGCCCGGACUCCGCUCGCGCCAACUCACUCGCCCGCUCACUCCUAAACCGUCCGCGGCGCGAGGCGGCCAGGCCGCCGGCCCGCGCUCCCGACCAGGCGGCACUUCCGGCCGGCCGUGGGUACCUCUCACAACAGCAGGACAAUCCCUCCAAAGUAACACCAUCAAAUAAAAAUCUUACCAAAUCUUCCCAAGCCCACCAGCAGGACUGGCUUCCUCGCCAUGGCCAGUGGACCAAGGAUUGCCCGGGAGACCCGCUUGCCUGCUGCGGACUGAGGACUUGGAGGUGCUGUCGGUGGGCCAGGCUCACCCACCACAAACUGAGAACUCACUCACCAAGGAUGGAGAACCAGCCCAAUAUGCCUAGCUCACCCAUCGCAGGCCAUGAACUCGGACACGACCACCGAGAGCGUGGGCAACUGUCGAGAGUGAGGUGGACCGUCGAAAGUACAGGGGGUCCAGCGCCGCCGAGAACAUAAGAGAGCUGUCAUUAACGAUCAUGGAACCCGGCAGAGAUUGACGGGGUGGCUGCUUGCUGCCACAUGUGGCGGGGGGCAUGGUUCGUCAUUGCGGGCAGAAGAUAACUGUGCGAUGAACUUUAUGUAACUGUUGGUAGCAGAAACGUGGCGACUCUUGUGUAUGGCCUGGUUGAGGUCUGCUGUAUGAUUUUACCAGGUUGUAUGAAACACAAAGCAUUUCCCUGUAUCUAGGUACAUGUGACUAUAAAGUAUCAUUGAAUACAUAAGCACAAUCAUUCUUAAAUACAAAUAUGUAAGAAAACUAGAUUACACGAAGGCAAUGUAUAUGAGCCACCAUAUUUCCAACACCAUCUUGCAUCUUUCAAGUUUCCAGGUUCUUAAAAAUAUAUAAUUUUAACUUG